rnacentral:misc_RNA from 1 species
GAUGAAGAACGUAGCGAAAUGCGAUACUUGGUGUGAAUUGCAGAAUCCCGUGAACCAUCGAGUCUUUGAACGCAAGUUGCGCCCGAAGCCACUAGGCCGAGGGCACGCCUGCCUGGGCGUCACACGUCGUUGCCCCCCCCCCAUCUACUCCUUCGGGAUUGCGGGGGGCGGAUGAUGGCCUCCCGUGCGCCUAGCCGCGCGGUUGGCAUAAAUACCAAGGCCUCGGCGACGCACGCCACGACAAUCGGUGGUUGCGAAACCUCGGUUGCCCGUCGUGUGCGUUCGUCGCGCAUCGAGGGCUCGAAAAAAUGCUCGGCUCCGGCUCGGCUUUCAACGCGAACCCAGGUCAGGCGGGGUUACCCGCUGAAUUUAAGCAUAUCAAUAAGCGGAGGA